GCUAAGAGUACUGUAUGAGCAGAGGUCCGCUGCCACUCUGUUCAAUGAUUUUGCCAUCAUUAGUUGGUGCUUUUGUUCAUCUGUUGUUUCUGCUGCUGCCUCUACAAUAGUGGUUUUCAUCUGCAAGACCUCUGGAAAAUCAACCUCAAAUAUGUUGCUGUCUUUCAAGCAACUCAAGCGAUAUGCCCUUGUAUCCAUACCUGCAGAUAAAGAACAGACAUCAUUUGUUUACUCUGUAACAUUUUUUGCUAAAUGGAAUCAACUAGCUUCCGAGGGGUGAGCAAUAA
rnacentral:misc_RNA from 1 species